GCGUGAGUGAUGAAGGCCUUCGGGUCGUAAAACUCUUUUCAAGAGGAAGAGGAAGGACGGUACUCUUGGAAUAAGCCUCGGCUAACUACGUGCCAGCAGCCGCGGUAACACGUAGGAGGCAAGCGUUAUUCGGAUUUACUGGGCGUAAAGCGCGUGUAGGCGGCUAUAAAAGUUGGAUGUGAAAGCUCCCGGCUUAACUGGGAGAGGACGUUCAAAACUCUAUAGCUUGAGUAUGAGAGAGGAAAAUGGAAUUCCGGGUGUAGUGGUGAAAUGCGUAGAUAUCCGGAGGAGCACCAGUGGCGAAGGCGAUUUUCUGGCUCAAGACUGACGCUCAGACGCGAAAGCUAGGGUAGCAAACGGGAUUAGAGACCCCGGUAGUCCUAGCCGUAAACGAUGUGGACUAGGCGUUGGAGGAGUAAAAUCCUUCAGUGCCGCAGCAAACGCGAUAAGUCUACCGCCUGGGGACUACGGCCGCAAGGUU
rnacentral:rRNA from 1 species